rnacentral:lncRNA from 1 species
ACACUAUGAGCCACCUCUAUAAUGAGAGGAUCUAACGCCACCUCAAUGCAACCCUACUCCACCAUCGUAUCAUCCGACACCGUCACAAUACAAUUCGGAGCCCCCACCGUAUCAUCCGGCACUGUUACAGGACCACCCGGUCCCUUCCCAGCAACAUCUGGCCCCUCUUCCAUGGGAUUCGGUUUCACUCAUGAUGGACCUUAUAGAGAUUGACACAGAUGACCCUGAUGUAUUUCCAAUGAUGAACUGAUUAGCGAUGUAUCAUGCCACUGUGGAUUGUUUCCACGAAAAACAUUGAAUUUAAGCCUCCUAAUGAAGAGUCAUUUAUAAGCUAAUAAAAGUUUCGAAUAUUGUUCUCCCUUAACAAAUUUCUUAGUACAUAAUGCUUUAUCUCAGUUGUUUUCUCUACAAUAUACAAGCUUAGAAAAGAAAUUUGUAUUCAAGAGAUCUUGAUAGUUUGAGACUUUCCAGAUAUGUUUCCUGAUGAACUUUUCAGACCACUAGUGGAUAGAGAAGUUGAGUUCACCAUAAACCUUCAGUCUGGCACGUAGCCUAUCUCAGU